rnacentral:rRNA from 1 species
CACGUAGGCACCAAGCGUUGUCCGGAUUUAUUGGGCGUAAAGAGCUCGUAGGCGGUUCAGUAAGUCAGGUGUGAAAUCUUUGGGCUUAACCCAAAGCGUGCACUUGAUACUGCUGUGACUUGAGUUCGGUAGGGGAGUGGGGAAUUCCCAGUGUAGCGGUGAAAUGCGCAGAUAUUAGGAGGAACACCGGUGGCGAAGGCGCCACUCUGGGCCGAAACUGACGCUGAGGAGCGAAAGCGUGGGUAACAAACAGG